AGCUUGGGCGCUGGCCGGUAGGAGGUUGAGAUGGGACGUAGUAGGUUAAGGGAGAAAAACAUAAGCGUACCGGCCUAAAAACGUGUCUUCUCUUUUUGUCUAUUUCUGCUGAAUGAGCUGCCCGUAAGAGGUUGUUGCUGACUGCCUGGACCACCCAGCCCUGGCUCUUGAGGUCCCAACAGACCAGAUUUGGCCACCUGCUGCCUUCAGGAUCCAAUGAGAGAAAAGAAUGGCGGUGAAACAAAGAAGGGAUUCAUUUUUGGUGCAAUCAUCUGGAAAGACAGCAGGUCUACUGACCUCGUGAGAAAACUGCAUCUGAGGAAUGGACAGCAGCUUCAGGAUUAUACAACAGAACUACAGUAGGAGGCAAAAGUAUGCAGCCGGUCACUCUUGGUCACACUGGGGUACGUCCAGUCCCGCAAGGUCACACUGUCACCGAGGAAGAUAACUGCUUGCAAGUUUCUCUGUUCCUGAAGUUUGAGAGAAGGCAGAAGGAAAAAUGACUCAGAGAAAACAGGCCAGAGAAAAAUAGAGUUAGUUGGCCAUUUAGAAUGUAUAACAUCGAUACUCUCCAGCCCCUUUCCACUGGGUAAUUUACCCAACCCUCUGCUGCAGUGCCCAAGGAGGCAGCCAGACAUGAAGCAGGCAGGGUGGAGCCACCUUGGAAGCUCCCAAGAAAAAGCAGAGUCUUCAGGACAUGGGAGGAACCUCUGUGUCUCACUACCUUCUCCUCUGCAUGGGAAGACAGUGCAGAAUCCAGGCUGUCAUUAACACUCCACCUUACAAGUUUUCACAGACUAUAUUUCU